rnacentral:rRNA from 1 species
AGAUAAUAGAUACCCAGGUAGUCCACGCCCUAAACGAUGUCGACUGGUUGUUGGGGGUUUGACACUCUCAGUAAACGAAAGCUAACGCGUGAAGUCGACCGCCUGGGGAGUACGGCCGCAAGGUUAAAACUCAAAGGAAUUGACGGGGACCCGCACAAGCGGUGGAUUAUGUGGAUUAAAUUCGAUGCAACGCGAAAAACCUUACCUACCCUUGACAUGUCCUGAAUCCCGCUGAGAGGUGGGAGUGCCCGAAAGGGAACGGGAACACAGGUGCUGCAUGGCUGUCGUCAGCUCGUGUCGUGAGAUGUUGGGUUAAGUCCCGCAACGAGCGCAACCCUUGUCAUUAGUUGCUACAUUCAGUUGGGCACUCUAAUGAGACUGCCGGUGACAAACCGGA